GCGGUGGACUGAGGACCGCGCAUCUGCAAGGAUGCUGGCGUAAUGGUCACCAGCGACCCGUCUUGAAACACGGACCAAGGAGUCGUCUUCGUAUGCGAGUGUUCGGGUGUCAAACCCCUACGCGUAAUGAAAGUGAACGCAGGUGAGAGCUUCGGCGCAUCAUCGACCGAUCCUGAUGUUCUCGGAUGGAUUUGAGUAAGAGCAUACGGGGCCGGACCCGAAAGAAGGUGAACUAUGCCUGUAUAGGGUGAAGCCAGAGGAAACUCUGGUGGAGGCUCGCAGCG
rnacentral:rRNA from 1 species